GCGGCCUAUCAGCACGUUGGUGAGGUAAUGGCUCACCAUGGCGAAGACUGGUAGAUAGUCUGAGAGGAUGAUCCCCCACACUGGAACUGUGACACUGUCCAGACUCCUACGGGAGGCUGCAGUGGAGAAUCUUUAGCAAUGGGGGAAACCCUGACUAUGCGACGCCGCGUGAGGGAUGACGGUCUUCGGAUUGUAAACCUCUUUCGAUCGGGAAGAAUAUCCCGCCAUUUAAUAAACGGCGGGACUGACGGUACCGGGAGAAGAAGCCACGGCCAACUCCGUGCCAGCAGCCGCGGUAAUACGGAGGUGGCGAGCGUUACUCGGAUUUAUUGGGUGUAAAGGGCAGGUAGGUGGCUCAUCAAGUGGGAAGUGAAAUCCUCCGACUUAAUCGGAGAACUGCUUUCCAAACUAGUGAGCUUGAGUGUGAGAGAGGAGAAUGGAACUCCUGGUGUAAGGGUGAAAUGCGUAGAGAUCAGGAGGAACACCAUUGGCGAAGGCGAUUCUCUGGAUCACAACUGACACUGAACUGCGAAAGUGAGGGGAGAGAACAAGAUUAGAUACCCUGGUACUCCACACCGUAAACGAUGAGUACUGGUGUGUCUCGGGUAAUACCGAGGCGCCGAAGCUAACACAUUAA
rnacentral:rRNA from 1 species